rnacentral:rRNA from 1 species
UACGUAGGGCGCAAGCGUUAUCCGGAAUCAUUGGGCGUAAAGAGCGUGUAGGCGGCUUGGCAAGUCUGACGUGAAAUCCCGCGGCUCAACCGCGGUAGGUCGUUGGAAACUGCCUCGCUAGAGUCCGGAAGAGGAGAGUGGAAUUCCUGGUGUAGCGGUGAAAUGCGCAGAUAUCAGGAAGAACACCCGUGGCGAAGGCGGCUCUCUGGGACGGUACUGACGCUGAGACGCGAAAGCGUGGGGAGCGAACAGG